GAUCUUUCUGUCUUCUGUCAGUCGAGCAUCAGAGUCUUGCAGUAAAGGUUGGGGCUGGAUUUAGUGUUCCCAGUUCUCUGCUCUAAGUACAUUCUCACCUAAACCACACUGGAAAGUCAAUAAAGAGGUUUCAGAAGCCUCCUACACCUUUUCAACUUCCCCAUCUUAAAGUCGGCUGUCAACUUAGGAGACAGGUUUUAACCUUGUCCAUGCUUAUAUCUGCUGAGAGUCAAGGAAAACAAAUGUCACGGACUAUUGGUGACUAGAAUAACCCCCACUGAUCCAAGGGGG